GCAUGGGGGGCUGGCAGCUGCCCGUCCCCGCGAGCUGCACGCUUCCCCGUGGCUGCCGAGCCCCGCGUCACACAGAUAAGAGUUGCUCUGUGGAGGUGCCUGCAUCUGUUUCCACUGAGUGCCGGUUGAGCGGAGACCUUGGAUUUCACCACCUUAAGACUGGUGAGACGAGCUUCUUGGCCAGUCAUCUUCACGUCAGUAAAGGUGAAGAAAUCAUUCCAAAGCAGAGUUCAUCCUCCCUGCCCACCAGAUCCUCUCUCAAAUGAGGAGAUAUGGAGGGAGGGCUCCCUCCCACCACAGGGGCAGGUGGAACAGAGGACAAGCAAGCAGCCGUGGAGACCACUUAUUUCCAGAAGGCAGCACCUUGCUUCUAGUUCCACCAAUACCUAUGGGGAGUCUUAGACUACGGAUGCUUGAAGAAUUCAGUAUUGUUCCAAAAGAUAUAUGAACUGAAUCUCCUAAUUCUUUGCUGAACAAACCAGAAACCAGAUGUGUUCUUCAAACAUUCUGAUGAUACAUUUUUCCAGCAAGGAUGUAUACAUAAAAAAUU